rnacentral:sRNA from 1 species
GCCAGGUGUGGUGGCACAUGCCUGUUAUCCCAGGUACUCAGGAGGCUGAGGCAGGAGGAUCACAAGUUUGAGGUCAGCCUGAGCAAAUUAGCGAGACCCUGUCUUAA